rnacentral:rRNA from 1 species
UACGUAGGGGGCAAGCGUUGUCCGGAAUCAUUGGGCGUAAAGCGCGUGUAGGCGGCCAGAAAAGUCCGCUGUGAAAACUCGAGGCUCAACUUCGAGCUGUCGGUGGAAACUUUCUGGCUAGAGUCCGGAAGAGGAGAAUGGAAUUCCUGGUGUAGCGGUGAAAUGCGCAGAUAUCAGGAAGAACACCCGUGGCGAAGGCGGUCUCUGGGACGGUACUGACGCUGAGACGACGAAGCGUGGGUAGCAAACAGG